rnacentral:lncRNA from 1 species
UGUUGAAGAAAAUCCAUUAUUUGUUGAGAUACUAUGGUGUAUAUUAUCUUGAGUCACAGCAAAACUGGUCUUAUUGAUCUUUGAUGAAGCAUUCUUUAAUUUCAUGCCGGCAGAAUCUGCCAUGGACUUAAGUUUAUUAUCUAAAACUAAACCACCAAAACCAUUGAGUUUCCUACAGACUCCUUUAGAACCGUAAGUACGGUAAUGUUUCUCAAGAUGUAGGGACUUCUGCCUAAGUAUGUACUCUCUUUUGGUGAUCCCAGACAACUUUCGACUACCAACAAACUCCUCGU